rfam:Pseudomonas bauzanensis strain CGMCC 1.9095 genome assembly, contig: Ga0066784_103
GGUCAUUGCUCGAUUCAAAACACGGAACCCCGGUUCCGGCCUGUUACCUCAGAGGAAAAGCUGUCAUGGCACUGAGCGUUGAAGAAAAAGCUGCAAUCGUAUCCGAGUAUGCCCGCGGUGAA